UCUCCAUUCUCAGGCAACAUUUUGCUGUGGGUUAUCGUUCCAGCUCUUUUGGCUGUGUAGAUGGCCCUAAUAACAGGAAAAAAUCAUCUUAGAACUGGUGCUAUUUUUUCCAGCAAUGAAGGAAAGAAACUCAAACCAAACAAAGUUUCUAAAAUAGUGGUUUUGAGAGAAGAAGUGCACCCCCAUUCUUCUCACGGGGAAACUUGCCUGCAACCUGGAGAGGAUGGUUUAAAGCCACAGAGUCCCUGCUGCUUCUUGUGCCGUGCUGCUGAAACACUUAGUGAUCAUACUUGUUCGUAAGCCAAGCCACUUUCUCCAUAUCAGCAAGCUGGAGCCUGGUGAUGGGGAAAGCCUGCCAAAACCUCCAGUUUGUUUCCUGCCACUUUCUGGGAUGGGCCCAGCAUUUAUGCAUUGACUUGAGUAUCCAACGAGCAGAGGCUUAGCAAAGGGAUGACACUUCUCUUUCUUCAGAUUUCACCAGGAAUGUUUUCCUAUUUCCACAUAAGGGAACCUGAAAUUUUCGGACUGCAGAGAGACAAAGCUGCAGGUUCAACUCCUGAUAGCCAAAGGAGGGACCCCACAGCUGCGGCAGCCCAAACUCCUCUCAGCUUUGCUGCGUGACUUCCUGAGCUGCUGCCUGCAGACAGACGAGGCACAGCGCUGGUCUGCUGAGGAGCUCCUGCAGCAUCAAUUUGUAACAUCGGCCAAGCCUGGCUCCAGCCUGGUGCCACUCAUCCUUUCCGUGAAGCAGUGAAAGG